rnacentral:rRNA from 1 species
UACGUAGGGUGCAAGCGUUAAUCGGAAUUACUGGGCGUAAAGCGUGCGCAGGCGGUUUUGCAAGUCUGUCGUGAAAUCCCCCGGGCUCAACCUGGGAAUUGCGAUGGAGACUGCAAGGCUAGAAUCUGGCAGAGGGGGGGUAGAAUUCCACGUGUAGCAGUGAAAUGCGUAGAGAUGUGGAGGAACACCGAUGGCGAAGGCAGCCCCCCUGGGUCAAGAUUGACGCUCAUGCACGAA